AGCUCCAAUAGCAUAUAUUAAAGUUGUUGCGGUUAAAAAGCUCGUAGUCGGAUUUCUGCCGAGGACAACCGGUCCGCCCUCUGGGUGAGCAUCUGGCUUGAUCUGGGCAUCUUCUUGGAGAGCGUAGCUGCACUUGACUGUGUGGUGCGGUAUCCAGGACUUUUACUUUGAGGAAAUUAGAGUGUCCUAAGCAGGCCCAUGCCAUAAAUACAUUAGCAUGGAAUAAUAAGGUAGGACCUACUCUCUAUUUUGUUGGUUUCUAGAGCAGAGGUAAUGGUCAAUGGGGAUAGUUGGGGGUAUUCGUAUUUGACUGUCAGAGGUGAAAUUCUUGGAUUUGUCAAAGACGAACCAAUGCGAAAGCAUUUGCCAGAGAUGUUUUCC
rnacentral:rRNA from 1 species